UGAUUGAUGUGACCGUAGCAGGUGAUCUACCCUUGGUCAGGUUGAAGUUCAGGUAACACUGAAUGGAGGACCGAACCGACUUACGUUGAAAAGUGAGCGGAUGAACUGAGGGUAGCGGAGAAAUUCCAAUCGAACCUGGAGAUAGCUGGUUCUCUCCGAAAUAGCUUUAGGGCUAGCCUCAAGUGAUGAUUAUUGGAGGUAGAGCACUGUUUGGACGAGGGGCCCCUCUCGGGUUACCGAAUUCAGACAAACUCCGAAUGCCAAUUAAUUUAACUUGGGAGUCAGAACAUGGGUGAUAAGGUCCGUGUUCGAAAGGGAAACAGCCCAGACCACCAGCUAAGGUCCCAAAAUAUAUGUUAAGUGGAAAAGGAUGUGGCGUUGCCCAGACAACUAGGAUGUUGGCUUAGAAGCAGCCAUCAUUUAAAGAGUGCGUAAUAGCUCACUAGUCGAGUGACACUGCGCCGAAAAUGUACCGGGGCUAAACAUAUUACCGAAGCUGUGGAUUGUCCUUUGGACAAUGGUAGGAGAGCGUUCUAAGGGCGUUGAAGCAUGAUCGUAAGGACAUGUGGAGCGCUUAGAAGUGAGAAUGCCGGUGUGAGUAGCGAAAGACGGGUGAGAAUCCCGUCCACCGAUUGACUAAGGUUUCCAGAGGAAGGCUCGUCCGCUCUGGGUUAGUCGGGUCCUAAGCUGAGGCCGACAGGCGUAGGCGAUGGAUAACAGGUUGAUAUUCCUGUACCACCUAUAAUCGUUUUAAUCGAUGGGGGGACGCAGUAGGAUAGGCGAAGCGUGCGAUUGGAUUGCACGUCUAAGCAGUAAGGCUGAGUAUUAGGCAAAUCCGGUACUCGUUAAGUCCG
rnacentral:rRNA from 1 species